rnacentral:rRNA from 1 species
AUUGAACGCUAGCGGGAUGCUUUACACAUGCAAGUCGAACGAGUGGCGGCCGGGUGAGUACUAUAUCGUAACGUGCCCAGUAGCGGGGGAUAACUACUCGCAAGAUUGGCUAAUACCGCAUACUAUUUGAGCGUCCCAUCUCGGAUUAGCUAGUUGGUGGGGUAAAGGCUCACCAAGGCAACGAUCCGUAGCUGGUGUGAGAGGACGACCAGCCACACUGGGACUUAGACACGGCACAGACUCAUACGGGAGGCAGCAGUUGGGAAUUUUUGACAAUGGGGGAAACCCUGAUCCAGCCAUCCCGCGUGUAUGAGAAGGCCUUCGGGUUGUAAAGUACUUUUGGCAGAGAAGCGGUAUCUGCAGAAUAAGCACCGGCUAACUACGUGCCAGCAGCCGCGGUAAUAC